CUAGUUAAGCAUCUCACUUACACCGAGAAGACACUCAUGCAAAUUGAGUCGCCCCGAGCCAAACAGCUAGCUUGACCACUACAUAACUUAACAGUAUAAAUAUAUCAAAAUAAGCCCAACACAAAAAAUUAAAUCAUUCUUUUACCUAAGUAUGGGAGACAGAAAAGGUUAUAUAUUAAGCAAUAGAAAAAGUACCGCAAGGGAAAGCUGAAAGAGAAAUGAAACAACCCAUAUAAGCAUUAAAAAGCAAAGACUAAGCCUUGUACCUUUUGCAUCAUGAUUUAGCCAGUACACCCAAGCAAAGUGACCUUUAGUUUGAAACCCCGAAACCAGGUGAGCUACCCCGAGACAGCCUAUUAAGGGCUAACCCGUCUCUGUGGCAAAAGAGUGGGAUGAGCUCCGGGUAGAAGUGACAGACCUACCGAACCUGGUGAUAGCUGGUUGCCUAAGAAACGAAUAGAAGUUCAGCCUCAUCCGCCUCAAGCCAAAAAGCACCCAAUAAGACACCACGAGAAACACAUGAGAGUUAGUUAAAGGGGGUACAGCCCCUUUAACCAAGGAUACAACCUUUCCAGGAGGAUAAAGAUCAUAAUAUUUAAAACACAGCUGUUCUAGUGGGCCUAAAAGCAGCCAUCUAAGCAAAAAGCGU
rnacentral:rRNA from 1 species